rnacentral:rRNA from 1 species
AUUGAACGCUGGCGGCAUGCCUUACACAUGCAAGUCGAACGGCAGCAUGAUCUAGCUUGCUAGAUUGAUGGCGAGUGCGAACGGGUGAGUAAUACAUCGGAACGUGCCCUGUAGUGGGGGAUAACUAGUCGAAAGAUUAGCUAAUACCGCAUACGACCUGAGGGUGAAAGUGGGGGACCGCAAGGCCUCAUGCUAUAGGAGCGGCCGAUGUCUGAUUAGCUAGUUGGUGAGGUAAAGGCUCACCAAGGCGACGAUCAGUAGCUGGUCUGAGAGGACGAUCAGCCACACUGGGACUGAGACACGGCCCAGACUCCUACGGGAGGCAGCAGUGGGGAAUUUUGGACAAUGGGCGAAAGCCUGAUCCAGCAAUGCCGCGUGUGUGAAGAAGGCCUUCGGGUUGUAAAGCACUUUUGUCCGGAAAGAAAUGGCUCUGGUUAAUACCUGGGGUCGAUGACGGUACCGGAAGAAUAAGGACCGGCUAACUACGUG